rnacentral:rRNA from 1 species
UACGAAGGGGGCUAGCGUUGCUCGGAAUCACUGGGCGUAAAGGGUGCGUAGGCGGCCCGGUAAGUCCGUUGUGAAAGUCAAAGGCUCAACCUUUGAACGCCGAUGGAUACUGCCGGGCUAGAGUCCGGAAGAGGCGAGUGGAAUUCCUGGUGUAGCGGUGGAAUGCGCAGAUAUCAGGAGGAACACCAAUAGCGAAGGCAGCUCGCUGGGACGGUACUGACGCUGAGGCGCGAAAGCGUGGGGAGCGAACAGG